ensembl:lncRNA
AGGGAGUAGUGAAUAGUGAGUAGGGAGUAGUGAAUAGGGAGUAGUGAAUAGUGAGUAGGGAGUAGUGAAUAGGGAGUAGGCAGUGAGUAGUGAAUAGGGAGUAGGGAGUAGUGAAUAGGGAGUAGUGAGUAGUGAAUAGGGAGUAGUGAGUAGGGAGUAGUGAGUAGUGAGUAGUGAAUAGGGAGUAGUGAGUAUGAAUAGAGUAGUGAGUAGGGAGUAGUGAAUAGGGAGUAGGGAGUAGUGAAUAGGGAGUAGUGAAUAGGGAUGAGUAGUGAGUAGGGAGUAGUGAAUAGUGAGUAGGGAGUAGUGAGUAGUGAAUAGGGAGUAGGGAGUAGUGAAUAGGGAGUAGUGAGUAGUGAAUAGGGAGUAGUGAGUAGUGAAGAGGGUAG